rnacentral:rRNA from 1 species
UACGGAGGGGGCAAGCGUUGUUCGGAAUUACUGGGCGUAAAGGGCGCGCAGGCGGCUGCUCAAGUCAGGCGUGAAAGGCCUGGGCUCAACCCGGGAAUUGCGCUUGAGACUGGGCUGGCUUGAGUGCUGGAGAGGAUGGUGGAAUUCCCAGUGUAGAGGUGAAAUUCGUAGAUAUUGGGAAGAACACCGGUGGCGAAGGCGGCCAUCUGGACCGCAACUGACGCUGAGGCGCGAAAGCGUGGGGAGCAAACAGG